rnacentral:lncRNA from 1 species
GUGCUCUGGGAGGACAGAGCUGAGCCUGGAGCAAGGGGGGAGGGGAAAGAAGAUAAUGAAUGGGCACAUCCACCCUGAUCUGUGAUCUGUAGCUAGGAUUGAGCAAACCUCAGCUAAAUUCUUCAGAGGCAGAAAGAGAGAGACACUCAAAGAACAACAUAACUAGAGGACAGGGCUGGGAGACAGAAGGGGCAAAACAGGAAAACAGCUCAUUUCUAGUAAGUGACUUUAAACUCAGCUGAGGUCCUGGUUGGUUCUCUGGCUUGAGGAAAGAGAGGAAGUAAGGAGUUGCGGGAGCGCACACACACUUCUGUGCGUGUGGAACGGUCUCACCCAGACGACCCCCCUCCCCCAAAGGAAAUCGAGAUAUUCCUCUAGGGCUAGAGGGGACAACUGGUUUUGUGGGACAGGAGGAAGGAAAACGGCGACAGACAGCACUCCCUGUCACUUCUAAAAGAGAAGAGGGACAGGUUCCUUCACACCUAGCAAAGAUCCUCCGAUUCUGGAAGCAGGGGGAGCGGAACUUAGGGUACCUCUCUCCCACAACUAGAAUGGACAGGCCAGAGGACAGUCAUAGCGGUUUCCUUAAGGCUCACCAAAGGCAGCCGCUCCGGAUCCGGAUCUCCACCUCCGCCCCGCCCCUCAAUACUCCCAGGUGAUUGACAGUGCGGAGACCAAUGGGAGGCACUCUUGGCCGACCUACCCAGCGGCGCCGGGACACUACUGAAAACCUGUGUGGAAUCAAAGCUCACCGGAGACAGCUGUGGCCAUUGUGCCUAUAACGCCAACACCAGGCAUAUCCUGGAGCCUCAGCUGGAGAAUUUACCUGUCUUGGACAACCUGCCACAAAACUGUGCCCACAUCUAGUUCCAUCUGGUCAUCAGGGCGUCUCUCUUUCUUACACCCAUAACACACAAUCCCCACUUCCGCGCCAGUGUUCAUGAGAAGUGAAAAGGAAGAGGGAAGAGAGGGCUUGUUGGGAGGACAGAGGGGAUGGGGCAGAGUGGGAUUCCUAGCAGGUUCUGGCUGGUGACAAGCUCUUCCCCCAGCCCCCUUGCCAUACCCAGUUCUGGAACAGUUCCUUAUACAGGAGGGAUGGGUAGUCCCCUAGGCCCACCUUUCCAAGGCUGGAGGUGGGCCAAAGCCAGGACUCUGUCCUUCCCACAUACUGUGUGCAUACAUGGCUGUGACUGGGGUGCAGGGGAGAGAAGGGGGUAUAAUAGGCCCAUAGUGACUAAUUAAGUUUCUUCCUCAACCCUGGGGCCCCUGGUGGUGUGAAUGUGGUGCCAAGUAGAUUGGCUGGUGCCUCUGCCCUUCCUAGAGAUAGCAACUGGGCCCUGGGGUACAACGAAGGUGAGGGUGGGGAGUGAUUGCUGUGUUGGCUCCUCCAAAGCCCUGGGGCUCUCAGAGUAACCCCCAGAAACACCCAGAGCCAAUAACUACAAAAAUAAAGAGUUUAUUUCCUAUCCAAAAGUGAGCCCAGGGUGUUGGGUGGUAGAGGAGAGCUGGAGACCUGGGCGAGUUUUGGAGCAGUCCAGGCCCUGAGUGAGACCAUGUUGUAAUGGGGGAGAACAGGCUUGGCAGCGGUCUGGGGUCAGGGAAAGGAUAGGGAGUGCUGUUGGGAUUUUUGAGUUGCUAGCAGCAGAAGAGACCACCUUGAGAGACAGCCUGCAGAGAGACAGAAACAGAGAUGUUGACAGACCCACGCCUAGGAGUAGAAGCAGACAUUACUGGGCCCAAAAAGCACCUGUUGGGCACAGGGACCUGGGAACACACUGUUAGGUAAGGCAGAGGUUGCAAACUCAACCCCUGGGCUCCACCCCGGACAUUCCAAAUUGGAUGAGGCCCAGGAAUCUGCUUUUUAUUUUUUUAUUUUUUUGAGCCUCCGCGCCUGGCAGAAUCUGCGUUUUAAUAGGAUCUCAGGUAGUUCUGAUGGACACUCAAGUUUUGAGAACUCAAAUACCCACAGAGACCAAACAAAAAUUUCAAACAAGGGAAGCUAGCUGGGUGUCGGGAGAUGAUCAAGAAACGUGGUGACUGCGAAGUAGAGUGCAGAGCAGAUCCCAUCUAAAGAGGACAGUGGCCACCCAGCCCAGCUGAUUGCCAGUUAUUGCCAGAUGGAAUGUUGGCCCACGGUAGCCUGAUGUCCUGAGGUUUUUUUUGUUUUGUUUUGUUUGAGCAGGGUCUCACUCUGUCAC